rnacentral:rRNA from 2 species
CUGGGCCUGCGCUACUUGCGCGGCUCCAACCAAUACACAGUGUGUUAUACUUCUCUUGCUUUGGCUCUGCCAAAGGUUUUAAACACAGAAAUUUAUUUUCUUUAAGAACAGUCAAUUUGAAUUUUAAUCUUCAAAACUUUCAACAACGGAUCUCUUGGUUCUCGCAACGAUGAAGAACGCAGCGAAAUGCGAUACGUAAUGUGAAUUGCAGGUUUUCGUGAAUCAUCGAAUCUUUGAACGCAUAUUGCGCUCUCUGGCAUUCCAGAGAGCAUGCCUGUUUGAGCGUCAUUUCUCUCUCAAGAUCCUCUAGGGGACUUGGUAUUGGGUGAUACUCUCUAGUUAACUUGAAAUACUCUAGGCAGAGCUCCCCCUAGAAAUCCUCUGGGCCGAAAUAAUGUAUUAGGUUCUACCAACUCGUUAUUUUCCAGACAGACUUCCAGGCAGAGCUCGGCUGAACAACCUUUCUAAGCUUGACCUCAAAUCAGGUAGGACUACCCGCUGAACUUAA